UCUGAUUUCUGGUGGGCUUGUG
rnacentral:siRNA from 1 species